rnacentral:rRNA from 1 species
UACGGAGGGUGCAAGCGUUAUCCGGAUUCACUGGGUUUAAAGGGUGCGUAGGUGGGUUGGUAAGUCAGUGGUGAAAUCCCCGAGCUUAACUUGGGAACUGCCAUUGAUACUAUCAGUCUUGAAUACCGUGGAGGUCAGCGGAAUAUGUCAUGUAGCGGUGAAAUGCUUAGAUAUGACAUAGAACACCAAUUGCGAAGGCAGCUGGCUACACGGAUAUUGACACUGAGGCAUGAAAGCGUGGGGAUCAAACAGG